AAUUUCAUCCAAUGACAGUAGAUUUGUUCUCUAUGGAUCAGUGAUUGGAAAGCAAAAUUCUGAAAUUUCAUUCUUUCCCUUUUUCUUAUACUUCUUUGAUGUUGUAUUUACAAAUACAUUCCGGAUUGAAACUUCAAAAUGGUCUAAUUGGAGCUUACAAGAUUCAUUAAACUCAAAAUGAUUAUAAUAUAAACUCGAUAUUAAUUAAAUCACCAUUUUUCUGUGUUAUUCUGCUGCAACAUUCUUCCAGAAAUUGCUGCUGCUAGUGCUGCUGUGAAAUUGGGAUCUUUUGUCAAGGAAGAGGCCAUCUGUUCCACUAAGAACUGACGGGCCUCGGGAGCUUCCAUUCUUGAUUUUGAACUUCUGGCAU
rnacentral:misc_RNA from 1 species